rnacentral:rRNA from 1 species
GAGUUUGAUCAUGGCUCAGAACGUACGCUGGCGGCACGCCUAACACAUGCAAGUCGAACGAAGUAGCAAUACUUAGUGGCAGACGGGUGAGUAACAUGUAGGUAUCUACCCCAUGGCCUGGAAUAACACGAGGAAACUUAGUGCUAAUACCGGAUAAGUCUUUACGGAGAAAGCUUUAUGCACCAUUGGAUGAGCCUGCACUUGAUUAGUUUGUUGGUAGGGUAAUGGCCUACCAAGACUGUGAUCAAUAGCUGAUUUGAGAGGAUGAUCAG